rnacentral:rRNA from 1 species
AUUGAACGCUGGCGGCAGGCCUAACACAUGCAAGUCGAACGGUAACAGGAAGCAGCUUGCUGCUUCGCUGACGAGUGGCGGACGGGUGAGUAAUGUCUGGGAAGCUGCCUGAUGGAGUGGGAUAACUACUGGAAACGGUAGCUAAUACCGCAUAAUGUCGCAAGAUCAAAGAGGGGGACCUUCGGGCCCCUUGCCAUCGGAUGUGCCCAGAUGGGAUUAGCUUGUUGGUGGGGUUACGGCUCACCAAGGCGACGAACCCUAGCUGGGCUGAGGGGAUGACCCGCCAGACUGGAACUGAGACACGGUCCCGACUCCUACGCGAGGCAGCAGUGGGGACUAUUGCACAAUGGGCGAAAGCCUGAUGCAGCCAUGCCGCGUGUAUGAAGAAGGACUUCGGGUUGUAAAGUACUUUCAGCGGGGAGGAAGGGAGUAACGUUAAUACCUUUGCUCAUUGACGUUACCCGCAGAAGAAGCCCCGGCUAACUCCGUG